ACUUACCACCCGACGGGAAGGGUAGUCGGCCCGUAGGGUAAACCGUNUGACUGGGGCU
rnacentral:rRNA from 1 species